UACGUAGGGGGCUAGCGUUGUCCGGAAUCAUUGGGCGUAAAGCGCGUGUAGGCGGCCCGGUAAGUCCGCUGUGAAAGUCCAGGGCUCAACCCUGGGAUGCCGGUCGGUACUGCCGGACUAGAGUUCGGAAGAGGCGAGUGGAAUUCCCGGUGUAGCGGUGAAAUGCGCAGAUAUCGGGAGGAACACCUAUGGCGAAGGCAGCUCGCUGGGACGUUACUGACGCUGAGACGCGAAAGCGUGGGGAGCAAACAGG
rnacentral:rRNA from 1 species